UACGUAGGGGGCAAGCGUUGUCCGGAAUCAUUGGGCGUAAAGCGCGUGUAGGCGGCUCGAUAAGUCUGCUGUGAAAGUCCAAGGCUCAACCUUGGGAUGCCGGUGGAUACUGUCGAGCUCGAGUCCGGAAGAGGAGUGUGGAAUUCCUGGUGUAGCGGUGAAAUGCGUAGAUAUCAGGAGGAACACCGAUGGCGAAGGCAGGUCUCUGGGCUGACACUGACGCUCAUGCACGAAAGCGUGGGGAGCAAACAGG
rnacentral:rRNA from 1 species